UUAACACAUGCAAGUCGAGGGGUAACGGGGAAGCUUGCUUCCGCCGACGACCGGCGCACGGGUGCGUAACGCGUAUACAAUCUACCUAGUACUGGGGUAUAGCCUUUAGAAAUGAAGAUUAAUCCCCCAUAGUCUCUUAGAGUGGCAUCACUUCUAGAGUAAAGGUUACGGUAUAAGAUGAGUAUGCGUUCUAUUAGUUUGUUGGUGUGGUAACGGCACACCAAGACUACGAUAGAUAGGGGCCCUGAGAGGGGGAUCCCCCACACUGGUACUGAGACACGGACCAGACUCCUACGGGAGGCAGCAGUGAGGAAUAUUGGACAAUGGAGGCAACUCUGAUCCAGCCAUGCCGCGUGCAGGAAGACUGCCCUAUGGGUUGUAAACUGCUUUUAUACAGGAAGAAACACCUCUACGUGUAGAGGCUUGACGGUACUGUAAGAAUAAGGAUCGGCUAACUCCGUGCCAGCAGCCGCGGUAAUACGGAGGGUCCAAGCGUUAUCCGGAAUCAUUGGGUUUAAAGGGUCCGUAGGUGGAUAAUUAAGUCAGAGGUGAAAUCUUGCAGCUCAACUGUAAAAUUGCCUUUGAAACUGGUUAUCUUGAGUUAUUAUGAAGUAGUUAGAAUAUGUAGUGUAGCGGUGAAAUGCAUAGAUAUUACAUAGAAUACCAAUUGCGAAGGCAGAUUACUAAUAAUCAACUGACACUGAUGGACGAAAGCGUGGGUAGCGAACAGGAUUAGAUACCCUGGUAGUCCACGCCGUAAACGAUGGUUACUAGCUGUUUGGACUUCGGUCUGAGUGGCUAAGCGAAAGUGAUAAGUAACCCACCUGGGGAGUACGUUCGCAAGAAUGAAACUCAAAGGAAUUGACGGGGGCCCGCACAAGCGGUGAGCAUGUGGUUUAAUUCGAUGAUACGCGAGGAACCUUACCAGGGCUUAAAUGUAAGUUGCAUUAGUUAGAGAUAGCUAUUUCUUCGGACCACUUACAAGGUGCUGCAUGGUUGUCGUCAGCUCGUGCCGUGAGGUGUCAGGUUAAGCCCUAUAACGAGCGCAACCCCUGUUGUUAGUUGCCAGCGAGUCAUGUCGGGAACUCUAACAAGACUGCCAGUGCAAACUGUGAGGAAGGUGGGGAUGACGUCAAAUCAUCACGGCCCUUACGUCCUGGGCUACACACGUGCUACAAUGGUAGGUACAGAGAGCAGCCACUGCGCGAGCAGGAGCGAAUCUAUAAAACCUAUCACAGUUCGGAUCGGAGUCUGCAACUCGACUCCGUGAAGCUGGAAUCGCUAGUAAUCGGAUAUCAGCCAUGAUCCGGUGAAUACGUUCCCGGGCCUUG
rnacentral:rRNA from 1 species